UGUGACGGCGUGCCUUUUGCAUAAUGAACCUACGAGUUACUUUUUCCGGCAAGGUUAAGCAUCUUGAGAUGUGGAUCCGAAGCGAAAGCGAGUCUGAACAGGGCGGAUAGUCGGAAGGAGUAGACGCGAAACCAAGUGAUCUACCCUUGGGCAGGUUGAAGGUUAGGUAACACUAACUGGAGGACCGAACCGAUAAGCGUUGAAAAGCUUCCGGAUGACCUGAGGGUGGGGGUGAAAGGCUAAUCAAACUUGGAGAUAGCUCGUACUCCCCGAAAUGCAUUUAGGUGCAGCCUUGAGAGUUACUAAUGUGAGGUAGAGCGACUGAUAAGAUGCGAGGGCUUCACCGCCUAUCAAGUCUUGAUAAACUCCGAAUGCGCAUUAGUUCUAUCUCAGGAGUGAGGGCAUGGGUGCUAAGGUCCAUGUCCUAAAGGAGAAGAAUCCAGACCAUCAGCUAAGGUCCCCAAAUAAACACUAAGUUGAACUAACGAAGUCAGAUUGCUAAGACAGCUAGGAUGUUGGCUUGGAAGCAGCCAUUCAUUUAAAGAGUGCGUAACAGCUCACUAGUCGAGGAGUUUGGCGUGGAUAAUAAUCGGGCAUAAGUGUUUUACCGAAGCUAUGGGAU
rnacentral:rRNA from 1 species